rnacentral:misc_RNA from 1 species
UCCGAGUUGACCCCGGCAGUCUCCUGUGAGUCCCCAUCACCCCGAAGGGCAUGCUGGCAACACAGAACAAGGGUUGCGCUCGUUGCGGGACUUAAGGCAACACCUCACGGCACGAGCUGACGACAGCCAUGCAGCACCUGUGCGGGCUCCCGAAGGAGGACCGGCUUUCACCGGCUUCACCCCGCAUGUCAGGCCCUGGUAAGGUUCUUCGCGUUGCGUCGAAUUAAGCCACAUGCUCCGCCGCUUGUGCGGGCCCCCGUCAAUUCCUUUGAGUUUCAGCCUUGCGGCCGUACUCCCCAGGCGGGGUGCUUAACGCGUGAGCUGCGGCACCGAAGGGGUCGCUCCCCCCGGCACCUAGCACCCAUCGUUUACGGCGUGGACUAC